rnacentral:rRNA from 1 species
UACAGAGGCCCCAAGCGUUACUGAGAAUCACUGGGUUUAAAGGGUGCGUAGGUGGCGCGUUAAGUCCGUUGUGAAAUCCCUUGGCUCAACCAAGGAACUGCUUCGGAUACUGGCGUGCUUGAGGCUAGUAGGGGUCACUGGAACUGACGGUGGAGCGGUGAAAUGCGUAGAUAUCGUCAGGAACGCCGAUGGUGAAGACAGGUGACUGGGCUAGUUCUGACACUGAGGCACGAAAGCGUGGGGAGCGAACAAGG